CACAACACGACUUCUCUCAAGCUGCCGUUUUGACUGUUUUCAGGAGUGAGAGAAUAACCUCCUGCUACAGAAAAUAUAACUCAAGAUUCCUAAAUUUCUGAAGGGAGCUGAUCACAGAGAUACAGGAUAGACAGGAGGUCUAAGUUUAACCUAAGUGCCGUGUUGCUGAUGAACAUCUUUAUAUGCAAAACCGGAGCACCCAGAGAAAACCCACGCAAACGCAGAGAGAAUUUGCAAACUACACACAGAAACCUGCUAAUCCAGCUGCGGCUCGAGUCAGCAUCCUUGCUUAUUGGAUGCCUGAUUGCAGUUCAACUCCAAACUCAGUUGGACCAGCUGAUCAGUGUCUUCAGUAUUACCACAAGCUACUGGGCAGAUGUGUGGACAGCUAUGAGCCAAACUUGGGACGUUUGGUUUUUAGCAGGUGUGACCAUCUGGGCAGCAGAAACAAGACAACUAAUCAUAUUUAGAUACAAUCAAAUGUCCAAACCAUCUCUGAGUGAAUGACAUCAAGGAAACAGGAUCAAAAAGAUCAUUCAUUAUAGAAUGUUUCAUAGGUCCUCCUGAUCAUUCUGUUCUCCUGGUUGUGAGGAUGUGCAGAGGCUGUAUUUGUCAGUGUUAAAAGACUUGUGCAGCUGUAUCCAGACAUACAAGCAGCCGACAAAGAGUUCUGGAGCAGGACAGACAGGGCAGCACGGUGGCGCAGAGGGUAGCACGUUUGCCUCACAGCAAGAAGGUUGCUGCUUCAAGCUUCGGCUGGAUUGGUGUACGCUGAUGGUCUGCUGAGAAUUCUGCUGAGUUGAAGGGAUCCUCCUGUCAGACAACCUCUCCAAAGUACAAUAGGACUAGGUUUCCACUACAAGGAUUAGAUUUGGCUACUGCAGUCCCGGUUUGGGCCAGCCUCACUUGUGAAGACUAAAGAUGAAGACAACAUACAAGAACAAUUUCGAGGAUGGCGACACACUUUUUAUUCCACCUAUAUAUCCCCUUUUAUGUGUAAGCAACAUUCCACAAGAUAAAACAAAACUAAAUGACAGGUUAUUUCUUUUCAUUUUGUCUGUUUUCUUGGAACAUUGUACACAAUUUACAACCAGUUUUAUAUAUAUAUAUAUAUAUAUAUAUAUAUAUAUAUAUAUAUAUAAGUCAGAGCAAGAAAAUGUUAUGUUUUCUUCUGGAGAAAGUCUUAUUUCUUUUAUUUCGGCUAGAAUAAAAACAGUUUUGAAUUUUUUAAAAAACAUUUUAAGGUCAAUAUUAUUAGCCCCUUCAAGCAAUUUUUUGCGACUGUCUACAGAACAAACCAUCGAUAUACAAUAACUUGGCUAAUUACCCUAACCUGCCUAGUUAAGCAAAUUAACCUAGUUAAGCCUUUAAAUGUCACUUUAGGCUGUAUAGAAGUGUCUUGAAGAAUAUCUAGUCAAAUAUUAUUUACUCAGUUAUUAGAAAUGAGUUAUUAAAACUAUUGUGAUUAGAAAUGUGUUAAAAAUAUUUCCGUUAAACAGAAAUUAAGGGAUUAUAUAUAUAUAUUUUGUCAUAUAUAUAUAUAUAUAUAUAUAUAUAUAUAUAUAUAUAUAUAUAUAUAUAUAUAUAUAUAUGACAAAAUCUGUUUUGUGUCGUGCAUUAGAGUUUGCUUAAAAAAACUGGUUGUCUCUGAGAAAGUAUUGUUAUUUUAUAUUAUUGAUGUGUUUUUAGUUCAGAGGAGAUAGCAAAUUGUUGAAUGCCAUUUAUAAAAAAAUUGUAAAAAAAAAA